rnacentral:rRNA from 1 species
ACACAGUAGGAUAAGCUAACCGCACUGUUGGUUAUGUGCGGGCAAGUAUUGAGGCAGUUCCGAUAGGCAAAUCCGUCGGAAUAAUGCUGGGGUACGAUGCGGAGCGAAAUUUAGUAGCGAAGUAGCUGAUUUCACACUGUCGAGAAAAGUCUCUAUCGAGGUUAAAGGUGCCUGUACCGCAAACCGACACAGGUGGGUGAGGAGAGUAUCCUAAGGCCAGCGAGAGAACUGUUGUUAAGGAACUCGGCAAAAUGACCCCGUAACUUCGGGAGAAGGGGUGCCUUCGAAAGAAGGCCGCAGAGAAUAGGCCCAAGCGACUGUUUACCAAAAACAUAGGUUUCUGCUAAGUCGCAAGACGAUGUAUAGGAGCUGACGCCUGCCCGGUGCUGGAAGGUUAAGGGGAUCUGUUAGAGCAAUCGAAGCAGUGAACUUAAGCCCCAGUAAACGGCGGCCGUAACGAUAACGGUCCUAAGGUAGCGAAAUUCCUUGUCGGGUAAGUUCCGACCCGCACGAAAGGCGUAACGAUUUGGGCACUGUCUCAACAACAGACUCGGUGAAAUUGUAAUACCGGUGAAGAUGCCGGUUACCUGCGACAGGACGGAAAGACCCCAUGGAGCUUUACUGUAGCUUGACAUUGAGUCUCGGUGCUACAUGUACAGGAUAGGUGGGAGACUACGAAGCAUGGACGUCAGUCUGUGUGGAGUCAUCCUUGGGAUACCACCCUUGUAGUACUGGGAUUCUAACCAGAGGCCAUGAAUCUGGUCUUGGGACACUGUCAGGUGGACAGUUUGACUGGGGCGGUCGCCUCCCAAAAAGUAACGGAGGCGCUCAAAGGUUCUCUCAGUACGGUCGGAAAUCGUACUAAGAGUGUAAAGGCAAAAGAGAGCUUGAUUGCAAGACAUACAGGUCGAGCAAGGACGAAAGUCGGACUUAGUGAUCCGGUGGUUCCGCAUGGAAGGGCCAUCGCUCAACGGAUAAAAGCUACCCUGGGGAUAACAGGCUGAUCUCCCCCAAGAGUCCACAUCGACGGGGAGGUUUGGCACCUCGAUGUCGGCUCAUCACAUCCUGGGGCUGUAGUAGGUCCCAAGGGUUGGGCUGUUCGCCCAUUAAAGUGGUACGCGAGCUGGGUUCAGAACGUCGUGAGACAGUUCGGUCCCUAUCCGUCGCAGGCGUAGGAAAUUUGAGGAGACCUGUCCUUAGUACGAGAGGACCGGGAUGGACGUACCGCUGGUGUACCAGUUGUUCUGCCAAGGGCAUGGCUGGGUAGCUAAGUACGGAAAGGAUAAGCGCUGAAAGCAUCUAAGCGCGAAGCCCACUUCAAGAUAAGAUUUCCCACCGCAAGGUUAAGAUCCCAGGAAGACUACCUGGUUGAUAGGUCAGAGGUGUAAGUGCAGUAAUGUAUUUAGCUUACUGAUACUAAUAGAUCGAGGACUUGACC